AAAACAGCAAGAGAAAGAAACAACAACAACAGCAUAAACAAACUACAGAAGCAAUAACAAAAAAAACAAAAACAAACUAUUUUCAAUUUUUAAAUGGGUAAGAACUCGACUUUCUUGAUUGCAGGCAUUUUGAGGUUAAGAUAAAAGUUGUAUUUAGUGGGCCACUUUUGGCAAGCAGAACUGGCGCUGUGGGUUUAACCAAACGCUAUCUUGCGGCGCCCUAAGAUUACUACGACUCAUGUCAGAUACCAUGAAAGGUGUUGGUUGUUUAAGACAGCACGACGGUGGACAUGGAAGUUGCAAACCGCUAAGGAGUGUGUAAUAACUCACCUGCCGAAACAACUAGUAACUAGCCCCUAAAAUGGAUGGCGCUCAAGUCGUCUGAUGUUAUAAACAAGAAAUUGUAUAUACAGUAAAGUCUUCUAAAUUCGAACGCUCGGUGGGUAUUUUUGACAUUUCUUA
rfam:Phlebotomus papatasi Contig72706.1, whole genome shotgun sequence.